CCCUUAGACGUUCUGGGCCGCACGCGCGCUACACUGACCAGUGCAACAAGCAUCCGUCCUUGGCCGACAGGCUCGGGCAAUCUUUGAACGCUGGUCGUGAUGGGGAUAGACUUUUGCAAUUUUUGGUCUUCAACGAGGAAUUCCUAGUAAACGCAAGUCAUCAACUUGCAUUGAUUACGUCCCUGCCCUUUGUACACACCGCCCGUCGCACCUACCGAUUGAAUGGUCCGGUGAAGCCUCCGGAUUGGCGCGCACCUCGGUGCCGCCGAGAAGUUGGCUAAACCUUACCAUUUAGAGGAAGGUGAAGUCUUAACA
rnacentral:rRNA from 1 species